GUUUGAAGCAGUCUGCUAGGGCAUGGA
rnacentral:piRNA from 1 species